AUGCUCCCUUUGGCAGCACAUACACCAAAACUGGAACAAUACAGACCAUUAGCAUGGCCCCUGUGCAAGGUUAACAUGCAAAUUCAUGAAGCAUUCUAUAUUUUU
ensembl:snRNA U6 U6 spliceosomal RNA